GAUGAACGCUGGCGGCGUGCUUAACACAUGCAAGUCGAACGAAGCAUUUAGGACAGAUUACUUCGGUUUGAAGUUCUUUAUGACUGAGUGGCGGACGGGUGAGUAACGCGUGGGUAACCUGCCUUGUACUGGGGGAUAGCAGCUGGAAACGGCUGGUAAUACCGCAUAAGCGCACAAUGUUGCAUGACAUGGUGUGAAAAACUCCGGUGGUAUAAGAUGGACCCGCGUCUGAUUAGCUAGUUGGUGAGAUAACAGCCCACCAAGGCGACGAUCAGUAGCCGACCUGAGAGGGUGACCGGCCACAUUGGGACUGAGACACGGCCCAGACUCCUACGGGAGUCAGCAGUGGGGAAUAUCGCACAAUGGAGGAAACUCUGAUGCAGCGACGCCGCGUGAGUGAAGAAGUAAUUCGUUAUGUAAAGCUCUAUCAGCAGGGAAGAUAGUGACGGUACCUGACUAAGAAGCUCCGGCUAAAUACGUG
rnacentral:rRNA from 1 species